AUCACCAUUGUUUAUAACAACACAUAAAGAGCCAUCCACAUCCACUCACAGGUCACAGGUCACAGGUCACAGUAACUAUUUACAGGUACAACAAACUCUCAGUUCCCACAGUUUGUUGAGAAACUGCACCUGAACCUCAGUAUUUUAUUCUCACUGCAGCUGCAGCCGCCACAGAGAGAAACAGACGGACCUGGAUUGUACUGCGGGGCUGAGAUCGUCUCUACCUUUACAGGAUCCUGAAGGUGACGUCUGAUAAAUACUCCAAAACCCAAAGACACUGAAUUUGUGGGAUUGAUUGAUUGAUUGACGGUUGCAGCUCCAGUUGUCAGGUUGAGUAAAAUCACUUUGCUGACACUUCAGUUCAUCAAGUCUGAACAUAUCAUCAUCAUCAUCAUCAUCAUCUACCUGCUGCUUGUUCCAGCUGGAGGAACAGGUAUUUGUUGCUCUACCUGUUGACACUGAGCAGUUCUCUCUCUCUUCAGUGACCUGUGUGUGUGUGUGUGUGUGUGUGUGUGUGUGUGUGUGUGUGUGUGUGUUGAACUGCAGGUCGUGCAACGAUGAAGCAAACUCCAAGUACAUUUACUUUGAGCGCUGUACUUAAGAAUAUUCUCUGAGUAUUUGUACUUUACUUGAGUAUCUUUUUUUUGUUGUUGCAAACUUCUGACUUUUACUCCGCGACGCUCUUUUACUUUGAAGCAGAGCUUUUAGUGAGAGGAAUGAAUUCUGUGACGGACCAUAUCCUGUGUUCCCCACAGGAGAAGAAGAAUCCCAGCGAGUC